rnacentral:pre_miRNA from 1 species
UUGUUAGUAUAAGUAUGUCCCAUGCGAUAUUUGGGACAUACUUACAGUAAAA